GAUGAACGCUGGCGGCGUGCCUAAUACAUGCAAGUCGAGCGAACGGACGAGAAGCUUGCUUCUCUGAUGUUAGCGGCGGACGGGUGAGUAACACGUGGAUAACCUACCUAUAAGGCUGGGAUAACUUCGGGAAACCGGAGCUAAUACCGGAUAAUAUUUUGAACCGCAUGGUUCAAAAGUGAAAGACGGUCUUGCUGUCACUAAUAGAUGGAUCCGCGCUGCAUUAGCUAGUUGGUAAGGUAACGGCUUACCAAGGCAACGAUGCAUAGCCGACCUGAGAGGGUGAUCGGCCACACUGGAACUGAGACACGGUCCAGACUCCUACGGGAGGCAGCAGUAGGGAAUCUUCCGCAAUGGGCGAAAGCCUGACGGAGCAACGCCGCGUGAGUGAUGAAGGUCUUCGGAUCGUAAAACUCUGUUAUUAGGGAAGAACAUAUGUGUAAGUAGCUGUGCACAUCUUGACGGUACCUAAUCAGAAAGCCACGGCUAACUACGUG
rnacentral:rRNA from 1 species